UACAAAACUCAUAGUUUUCUCUAUAAUCAUCAAUCUAUUUUCUAGUACAGUUGUCCUCAAGCAUAAUCCUUCUCACUAAAUAAAUAAAUACUUGAGUGUGUGAAAACGACAUUCACAUUUUGGCGCCGUCUGUGGGGAUGGAGAAUUCUUGAGUCAUCUGAUUUUUUAUAUACUACAUUCCCGAAGUGAGCAGCAAUGUGUGGAGAAGAUGCUACCAACGCUUCACUAGCCGAAACUCUCAAGACCAUGCUGCAAACUAUGACAGAAAUGGCGGAGAAGUUUUCGAG
rnacentral:sRNA from 1 species